GAUCCUGGCUCAGGAUGAACGCUAGCGGCAGGCUUAACACAUGCAAGUCGAGGGGCAACGCGAGUAGCAAUACUUGGCGGCGACCGGCGCAAGGGUGCGUAACGCGUGAGCAACAUGCCCGUAUCAGGGGGAUAAUCCAGGGAAACUUGGUCUAAUACCCCAUAGUAAUUUUGUAAGGCAUCUUAUAAGAUUUAAAGCUUUGGUGGAUACGGAUUGGCUCGCGUGACAUUAGCUGGAUGGUAAGGUAACGGCUUACCAUGGCUAUGAUGUCUAGGGGUUCUGAGAGGAAGGUCCCCCACACUGGAACUGAGACACGGUCCAGACUCCUACGGGAGGCAGCAGUGAGGAAUAUUGGACAAUGGAUGGAAAGCUGAUCCAGCCAUGCCGCGUGAAGGAAGAAGGUCCUAUGGAUUGUAAACUUCUUUUGUAUGGGAGCAAUAAGGCCUACGAGUAGGUUGAUGAGAGUACCAUACGAAUAAGCACCGGCUAACUCCGUGCCAGCCGCUGC
rnacentral:rRNA from 1 species